rnacentral:rRNA from 1 species
AUUGAACGCUGGCGGCAGGCCUAACACAUGCAAGUCGAACGGUAACAGGAAGAAGCUUGCUUCUUUGCUGACGAGUGGCGGACGGGUGAGUAAUGUCUGGGAAACUGCCUGAUGGAGGGGGAUAACUACUGGAAACGGUAGCUAAUACCGCAUAACGUCGCAAGACCAAAGAGGGGGACCUUAGGGCCUCUUGCCAUCGGAUGUGCCCAGAUGGGAUUAGCUAGUAGGUGGGGUAACGGCUCACCUAGGCGACGAUCCCUAGCUGGUCUGAGAGGAUGACCAGCCACACUGGAACUGAGACACGGUCCAGACUCCUACGGGAGGCAGCAGUGGGGAAUAUUGCACAAUGGGCGCAAGCCUGAUGCAGCCAUGCCGCGUGUAUGAAGAAGGCCUUCGGGUUGUAAAGUACUUUCAGCGGGGAGGAAGGGAGUAAAGUUAAUACCUUUGCUCAUUGACGUUACCCGCAGAAGAAGCACCGGCUAACUCCGUG